AGCAUGAAGCUAUACAAUUGGAAACAGAAAAUAUGAUUUUAAAGAAGAAAAUAAAAGUUACUGAAAACCAUGUGAAGCAGAUCAUAGGAAAGAUCAGUGAAGAGAGGCAGGACCAGUGGAAAUUCUUAACUUCCAUGUAUGUAGCAUGGAUAUUUGCAGAUGCAUAUACAUUCAUAAAGAUACAUUUCAUUUCAUCAGCUUUAAUCUCUAGUAAAAUUAAUGUGGUAUAUGUAUCCUACUCAGGAUACUGAAAUACACACAUGCGUACACAUGAUUAGUUUCUGUUGCAUACAUAUUUACAACAAUACUAGUUCUUAACGUAUGUUUUACUUUCAUUUAAUAAUGUUCAACUUUGGAAAAUACUUUUGAUUAUUUGCUAAGAAUAAGGAAUUCAGCGCUGCUUGAAUACAGCUCAAAUUUGUUUAUUUGCCAACACAAGUUUACAUAUAUGCAUUUAAUAAAAUUUUAUAGUGAUUUAAUAA
rnacentral:lncRNA from 1 species